AAUAUUUCUCACUAAUUUCUUAUUCAUUUCUCAUUAAUUUCUUAUUCAUUUCUCAUUUCUCUCGUUUCUGUCAGUGCUUUUAUCACUAUGCCUUUUCCAGUGUAUUUUUCAGAUGGUGCUGCGGAGCUGCUGGACUUCCUGGACUUCCCCCGUUUCCCCAGACCAAACCUUCGUGCUCUUCUUCAAGUACUACCCGGAUUUCCUCCAGUGCAGACCUUGGUGUUCCUCUGUCCAUCCUUUCCUCUCCUUAGGCCGGAUGGAUUUGCUCAGUUACUUUACCUCCCAGAUGUCGUCUGUUCUACCCCACCUUCUUCCCCCUGGUGUGGGAGGACAGAGCCGAGUACUGGAAGUGGCAUCUGAGCAGCCAUGUUGCCCACCUGUGCUACAUGGAUCUGCUGUGGAGAGACUACCUGAAGACCAGGGUCCCCCCAACUGCCUGCAGACAGCUGGAGCCUCGAACGUACAGAGACCACAAGCCGGGGGGCCACAGCAUCGCUCU
rnacentral:lncRNA from 1 species